GACGAACCGUGCAAACGUUGUUCGGAAUCACUGGGCUUAAAGGGCGCGUAGGCGGGUUCCCAAGUCGGUGGUGAAAUCUUUCGGCCCAACCGGAAAAGUGCCGCCGAUACUGGGAGUCUUGAGGGAGGUAGGGUCGGGGAACUGGUGGUGGAGCGGUGAAAUGCGUAGAUAUCACUAGGAACGCCGGUGGCGAAAGCGCCCGACU
rnacentral:rRNA from 1 species